GUGAGCGGAUGAACUGAGGGUAGCGGAGAAAUUCCAAUCGAACCUGGAGAUAGCUGGUUCUCUCCGAAAUAGCUUUAGGGCUAGCCUCAAGUGAUGAUUAUUGGAGGUAGAGCACUGUUUGGACGAGGGGCCCCUCUCGGGUUACCGAAUUCAGACAAACUCCGAAUGCCAAUUAAUUUAACUUGGGAGUCAGAACAUGGGUGAUAAGGUCCGUGUUCGAAAGGGAAACAGCCCAGACCACCAGCUAAGGUCCCAAAAUAUAUGUUAAGUGGAAAAGGAUGUGGCGUUGCCCAGACAACUAGGAUGUUGGCUUAGAAGCAGCCAUCAUUUAAAGAGUGCGUAAUAGCUCACUAGUCGAGUGACACUGCGCCGAAAAUGUACCGGGGCUAAACAUAUUACCGAAGCUGUGGAUUGUCCUUUGGACAAUGGUAGGAGAGCGUUCUAAGGGCGUUGAAGCAUGAUCGUAAGGACAUGUGGAGCGCUUAGAAGUGAGAAUGCCGGUGUGAGUAGCGAAAGACGGGUGAGAAUCCCGUCCACCGAUUGACUAAGGUUUCCAGAGGAAGGCUCGUCCGCUCUGGGUUAGUCGGGUCCUAAGCUGAGGCCGACAGGCGUAGGCGAUGGAUAACAGGUUGAUAUUCCUGUACCACCUAUA
rnacentral:rRNA from 1 species